rnacentral:tRNA from 1 species
GGGGAUUUAGGCUAACCUGGCAGACUAGCGGGCUCCAGCCCCGUGGUGGAAACCCGCCUAUGGGGGUUCAAAUCCCUCAGUCCCCACC